rnacentral:rRNA from 1 species
UACGUAGGGUGCAAGCGUUGUCCGGAAUUAUUGGGCGUAAAGAGCUCGUAGGCGGUCUGUCGCGUCUGCUGUGAAAACUCAGGGCUUAACCCUGAGCUUGCAGUGGGUACGGGCAGACUAGAGUGCGGUAGGGGAGACUGGAAUUCCUGGUGUAGCGGUGAAAUGCGCAGAUAUCUGGAGGAACACCGGUGGCGAAGGCGGCAUCCUGGACCGACACUGACGCUGAGGCGCGAAAGCUAGGGUAGCAAACGGG